ACACAUAUAUUUAUGGUUCUUUCUAUUUGAUCUUUCGUGUUUGUUCCUCUCCUUAUUGUUUCCCCGCCUUUUCACGGUUUUGCCAUGGAUGGCG
rnacentral:ribozyme from 1 species